GGGGAAUAUUGGACAAUGGGGGCAACCCUGAUCCAGCCAUGCCGCGUGAGUGAUGAAGGCCUUCGGGUUGUAAAGCUCUUUUGGCGGGGACGAUGAUGACGGUACCCGCAGAAUAAGCCCCGGCUAACUUCGUGCCAGCAGCCGCGGUAAUACGAAGGGUGCAAGCGUUACUCGGAAUUACUGGGCGUAAAGCGUGCGUAGGUGGUUGUUUAAGUCUGAUGUGAAAGCCCUGGGCUCAACCUGGGAAUGGCAUUGGAAACUGGGCAGCUAGAGUGCGGUAGAGGGUAGUGGAAUUCCCGGUGUAGCAGUGAAAUGCGUAGAGAUCGGGAGGAACAUCUGUGGCGAAGGCGACUGCCUGGACCAGCACUGACACUGAGGCACGAAAGCGUGGGGAGCAAACA
rnacentral:rRNA from 1 species